rnacentral:rRNA from 1 species
AUGGCUGGACAGUAUACUGACCUAACUAAUAUAGUCCAAACUGCAGUGUACUUGCUUUGUCGUGGUGUGUUUCAAAUACUCCGUACGAUACCCAAUAAGUUAUUAGGCGUUCUUUUAAUGGUUUCUGUGCCAACAGGCUUAUUGACAGUACCUUUUCUAGAGAAUGUCAAUAAAUUCCAAAAUCCAUUUCGCCGCCUAGUAGCUACGACCGUUUUUUUAAUCGGUACUGUAGUACCUCUUUGGUUAGGUAUUGGAGCAACAUUACCCAUUGAUAAAUCAUUAACUUUAGGUUUUUUUAACCUUUUUUCUAAUAUUCGUUGA